CCGUCGUCAUCUUUUAUGCCUUCUUCGGGUAUUAGAGGGGGGGGAAGAGAGAGAGAUGAACUGUGUUUGGCUUCGGGUGGUGGCAGACAUGAAGAGAUCUAAUCAACUCCUCCUCCUCCUCUUCUUCCUCCUCCUCCUACGUAUGGUGCACUCACUCGACACCAGGGGAUUAGCACGCAUGCAGGAAGCAGCUGCAGCGACCAACACAACAGCAGCAGCAGUAGAAAAAGUGACAGGUGGCGCGUCAUCCGGCGGCCGAGGCGGAGGGCACGGCAGUUCGACGGGCGGCACCGACGGUGGGAACACGGACAGCAGCACCAGUUCUGGUUCGGGCUAUGGAUCAGCGACUCCGAAUCUUCAAGGCGCGGCAGAUCACCCGAGGAACGAUAAACCCCGCAACAGAAACGAUGCGAGCAGCUACCGCUUACCACUCCCCGUCAUCCUCACAGCUGUUGCGUUCUCGCUGUUGCUGCUCUUACAUGAUAUAUAUUAUUAGUAGCCGCCUCUCACAAUGUAUCUCGAUCGAGAGUGGCUGGUGAAGAGGAGUGUUAUCCGAGUGGUGUUUGAUCGUUUGUAUGAAUAGUAUUUGAAUUAACAUAUAUUCCACUCGUCCUUCUCAA